CGUUCCCGGGUCUUGUACACACCGCCCGUCACACCACGAGAGUUUACAACACCCGAAGUCGGUGGGGUAACCCUUCUAGGGAGCCAGCCGCCGAAGGUGGGGUAGAUGAUUGGGGUG
rnacentral:rRNA from 1 species